UACGUAGGGGGCAAGCGUUAUCCGGAUUUACUGGGUGUAAAGGGAGCGCAGGUGGCAAGGCAAGCCAGAAGUGAAAACCCGGGGCUUAACCCCGCGGAUUGCUUUUGGAACUGUCUGGCUGGGGUGCAGGAGGGGCAGGCGGAAUUCCUGGUGUAGCGGUGAAAUGCGUAGAUAUCAGGAGGAACACCGGUGGCGAAGGCGGCCUGCUGGACUGUAACUGACACUGAGGCUCGAAAGCGUGGGGAGCAAACAGG
rnacentral:rRNA from 1 species